UGCAUGAAGCCGGAAUUGCUAGUAAUCGCGGAUCAGCAUGCCGCGGUGAAUACGUUCCCGGGCCUUGUACACACCGCCCGUCACACCAUGGGAGCCGGUAAUACCCGAAGUCAGUAGUCCAACCUCGUGAGGACGCUGCCGAAGGUAGGAUUGGCGACUGGGGUGAAGUCGUAACAAGGUAAC
rnacentral:rRNA from 1 species